AUUGAACGCUGGCGGCAGGCCUAACACAUGCAAGUCGAACGGUAACAGGAAGAAGCUUGCUUCUUUGCUGACGCGUGGCGGACGGGUGAGUCAUGUCUGGGAAACUGCCUGAUGGCGGGGGAUAACUACUGGAAACGGUAGCUAAUACCGCAUAACGUCGCAAGACCAAAGAGGGGGACCUUCGGGCCUCUUGCCAUCGGAUGUGCCCAGAUGGGAUUAGCUAGUAGGUGGGGUAACGGCUCACCUAGGCGACGAUCCCUAGCUGGUCUGAGAGGGUGACCGGCCACACUGGAACUGAGACACGGUCCAGACUCCUACGGGAAGCAGCAGUAGGGAAUAUUGCGCAAUGGGCGCAAGCCUGAUGGAGCCAUGCCGCGUGUAUGAAGAAGGCCUUCGGGUUGUAAAGUACUUUCAGCGGGGAGGAAGGGAGUAAAGUUAAUACCUGUGCUCAUUGACGUUACCCGCAGAAGAAGCACCGGCUAACUCCGUG
rnacentral:rRNA from 1 species